GUGGGGUUGGAUCGAUCAAGCAGAAGGAGAACAAGGUGAAACCCUUGUUCUCCAAAUUCAGCAAAUUGAAGAGGAAAUUCAAGGAUAAUCCAAUGCAUGAACUUCGAUUUACACUCAUCUAAACUCGAUUAUUGAAGUGGCGUGAAAGAAGAAAGUUCAAGCACUAAGAAAACGGAAGACACGCAUGAUCGAGGUAAAGCACCUCUAUAGGCGAUUUGGAGGUAUGGGACGAGCACAUGUUCAAGCCUUAUAAUACCAAGCGCUUCCGCAACUUAUAUGCAUGCUUUCGGGUCCAUGUUUUGUUACUUGGUUAAACUUUGUUAAAUUGUUUUAGAUUUGAAAACUCGUUAUUUUUGUUGGAAUGAUUUUAUGUAAAACGGGUCGUAUGUAAACGUUGUAUGUUAUGUCAAAACAGGGGGUAUGUCCGUUUUACAAACGGGUCAUGCCCAAUUUUUGUAAAAAAAAUUCUAU
rnacentral:lncRNA from 1 species